CACCUGUGGACUUCACCCAGGAGGAGUGGGGGCUCCUGACCCCUGCUCACUGGAAUCUAUGCCAGGAGGAGAUGCUGGAGAACUACUAGAACCUGAUGUCACUGGCAGGAUAUCAACUUUCCAAGGCUAAUGAGAUUCCCCUGUUGGAGAAAGGAGAACCAUGAGUGAGAGAGAAGUCCUAGAAGAUCCCAGAACAGACGUGAGAAGUAAAACAGAAACCAGGAAGUCAAUUGCAAAGAAUGACAUAUCCCAGAAACACUUAUAUCAUGGCAUCCAGGAACACUUAUAUCAUGGCAUUAUGAUGGAAAGAGGACUGCCUAAUACGUACGUGAAGUUUCUACUGCUGCCGACCCCGGGACUGCGGAAGCCAAGCAGCGCUUCGGAUGGACGUGGUGCUUUCUGGAUCCCCGCAGCAGUCCUCAGUCCGCAGCAGAGGCGUGGGAGCGCCACCCGCGAUUUUCGUGCUGGUUGUUUUACGGCAUCCUUUAAUGGGCUGGCGGCGGAGCCAAAGGCUGCCUCGACCUGCCUGCUCUCCUGCUCUUCUCUCGGUCUGGCCCUGCGCUCCCCCCAAAGAACCGCUAGAACAGCAGGAAACGGCCGGCCGGGGGGUUGAUUGUGAUAGUUGUGGAUUUUUUUAUUGUUUGUUUGCAACAAGUUUCCCUGUAGCUGUUAUAAAAACAUGCAAAUGAGAUUUUCUAACGGGAUCUUAAACAAAUCUGGAGGAGUUAAUGCCGAAGCAAAACAAUCAGCCCGUUUGAAGUGACUGCGGGUUUCAGUUUGCCUUUUCUCCCCGCGAUACUGUGGCAGGGGGGAGGAUAAUUAGACCUUUACUUUAAAAUCCGAAGGGCUCCGCUUCUCUCCCCUCCCUCUCUCCCUCCUCCCGCUCGCCCUCGCCCUCUCUGGCUCCCUCCCUCUCUCUUUCGCUCGCGCUCUGAUGUUGGCAAAGGGGGUUUUCUUAAUCAGAGUGUUUUUUUGGUCCGAGGGAAAGGAGGAAGAAGGAGAUUGCGAUGGAGAAAGGGGGUCUGUAAAACGUCAGGCGCGGCACAAAGGCUUUGCCACGUAAUUACAGGCUCCUAUUAAGUCGAGAUCUGCCCUCCCAGGGGUCUCCAAUUUUCUUGUAUUCCCUACAAAGUCUCCUCCGCAUGCCAGUUUGUGCCUUUUGAAGUGCCAGAGAGCUUCUUGAUCCAACUGAGAAGGAAAAAGGAGCUCAGCGAGAAGAGGGGGAGAGCGAGAAGGGAAAGGGGGACCCACCGCCGCCCUCCUCCGGACUCUUGGAGCCCUGGUUUUUACUUUUUUACUCCUUAGGAAACGUAAAGUGAGAAUCCUGCUCUCUAAUACAUCUGCAAGACAUCACCCUCUCCUCCUGAAACCUUAGUUACUCCUGAGAAUCCACAGGAGUGCAGAGAGGGGAACGCGCUUUCUUGAAGAUGUUUUAAAGCUGGAACAAGCCUUCUUCCGUUGAUGCUUGAACUCUUGCCGGGGAAUAACUUUAAAAAAAAUUUUUUUUAAAACCCACUUUGAUUCUUCACUCCCACCCGUUCCCUCCUCUUCUGCUUGACUAACUCCCCCACCCUGCUGGCCUCCCCUCUUCCUUUCUCCCCCUUAUUAUUAUUUUUAGUGUGUGCGCGCCUGGUGCGGACGCUUUUUGAGAAUUGGAUUUUUUCUUUUCCUCCUGACCUAAACAGGGUAACUUUUUAAAUUUUAUUUUUUUGGUGUGGAUUAUCUCUCUUUGGACCGCGCCGGACUUGGCUUCAGGAAAGCAACCAAGGCUGCGGGAAGCUGCGGGUGCGGAGCGCUCUGCUCUGCAGAAGAGGUCCCCCGCCCUCCUCUCUCUCUCUCUCUCUCUCUCUCUCUC
ensembl:lncRNA